rnacentral:rRNA from 1 species
CACGUAGGGUGCGAGCGUUGUCCGGAAUUAUUGGCGUAAAGAGCUCGUAGGCGGUGUGUCGCGUCGGCCGUGAAAACCUGCAGCUUAACUGUGGCGUGCGGUCGAUACGGGCAUCACUGGAGUUCGGCAGGGGAGACUGGAAUUCCUGGUGUAGCGGUGAAAUGCGCAGAUAUCAGGAGGAACACCGGUGGCGAAGGCGGUGCUCUGGGCCAGUAUUGACGCUGAG